rnacentral:rRNA from 1 species
UCGGGAAUUUUGGGCAAUGGGCGAAAGCCUGACCCAGCAACGCCGCGUGAGGGAUGAAGUAUUUCGGUAUGUAAACCUCGAAAGAAUGGGAAGAAUAAAUGACGGUACCAUUUAUAAGCUCCGGCUAACUACGUGCCAGCAGCCGCGGUAAUACGUAGGGACCAAGCGUUGUUCGGAUUUACUGGGCGUAAAGGGCGCGUAGGCGGCAAUUCAAGUCAGCUGUGAAAUCUCUGGGCUUAACCCGGAACGGCCAGCUGAUACUGCUUUGCUAGAGUGCGGAAGGGGCAAUCGGAAUUCUUGGUGUAGCGGUAAAAUGCGUAGAUAUCAAGAGGAACACCUGAGGUGAAGACGGGUUGCUGGGCCGACACUGACGCUGAGGCGCGAAAGCCAGGGGAGCAAACG